rnacentral:misc_RNA from 1 species
AAUCAUUAGUUCAUAGUAGAUACGCUUCAACUCCAAGAGAGAAGGUAUAUCUGCAGGAGCCUCUUCAACAAUGUUAUCACCUUCCUUUGGUUUUUUCUUUUCUUUCGUAGUAUCUGCAUCAAAAACACGGGGACUGAUCUUCCUUGACAGGAUUUGUGCCCGGAUAUAGUCCUGACGAUCUAAGCACAAGCGAACUUGGUCGAGGAUAAAUGCUAUUUUUUCCGUCUUCGCCAUUGCCCCAAAUGUUUCCACAGCCAUCUCCUGCAUCAAAUCAGCAGCCUCGGCAAUAAGACCUUGUUCUUCUUUAAUCUUGGCAAGCUUCUUUACCAGGCGUGCCCUCUCAAUCUCCACAUAUAUCUUUCCAGCAGAGACGUUGUUCAGAGUUUGGAUAAGUUCUAUGCGUGUAUCAAUA